rnacentral:misc_RNA from 1 species
CCCACGCACCUCUUACCUGGAGGGCGCACGUAGCUGAGCAAUCACCUAAACGCAGACGCACGCAUUCAACGAGUGCACAAUGGCGGGCAAGUUCCGCGGCGAUGUCGGCAAGCUCUCAAAGCCGAAAAAGAACAAGGCAGCCAAGCGGGCUAAGAGUAAGAAAGUCGUCUCACUCGUCAAGCGCAGUCCCAAGUUAGCGCAGGAUACUCUGCAGAGUCGCAUUGCUGAGCUGACCAGCCUCGACAGCGCCGCACGUGUUAGCAUCGGCGGACCGAAGGCUGGCAAGGCCGCGGCUCCUCCCUCCGCAGGGAAGGUCCGGAUCGGCAAAGCUGCAUUAGAGGUUGUGGGGAAGCGAAAGCGAGAGCGUGUGGUGCCGGAGAAGGAGGCGCCGGUGCAGCGAAGCACAGCAGAGGCUGUCGGUUUGAAGAUCUUGCACCAGGCCGUCAAGAGCCAGAGCCACGGUCGGCUGCUACCUCAUCAGAACCGCCACGACUACGAGUAUCGCCUCCGCUCUGUUGCCACCAUGGGCGUAGUGCAGCUGUUCAACUCACUCGCGCAGUCCCGCAAGGCGAGCGCCGCUCUAGACACCGAGAAGAAGAUGACGUCGGACAAGGUGAUGGAGAAGAAGCAACUAGUCUCGAAGGAGGUCUUCUUGGCGGCGUUACGCCAACCGCAGCAGCACUGAAUCUGCCUACGUGUUGUUGCAGGCGCACCUCUCUCUCUCUGUUUGCAUCCCUGAGUGGGCAUGCGCGUGCGUUCCUCCUUGCCACUGUGCUGUGUUUUGCCUCUUCCCCUCUACUCCGCUGUACGUGCGUCGGUUGUUUUGCAGGGCUGUGGGGCGCGCGAAAGAAGUAAAAGAGAAGGUGCGGGAGUGGCGGUGCAGAUAGGGAACGAAGUAACGACGUGUAAUUUUCGGGUGACCGUGACAGAGCCACCGCAUGCCCGGGCCUUGCUCUCUGUGCGCGCAGAUGCACGACGCGUUUGUGCUUAAAGAAUAUACAAACGUAGAAAGGAAUGGCUAAACCACGAGGAGGCCUUUAGGCGGCGUCGCAGUCGUGCCCCACGUCCUACUCCUUCAAGUGGCGACCCGCUCCAUGAGCACACAAGCGGUUAUUCGAGUGGAUGAGUGCGCGCCACUCUGUAGCGGCGAAGAAAGACGAGCGACUGUGCUGUAGUCUCCUCACCACUUCUUCCUGCACGUACACGACCGUCCACGCAAUCGAAUGGCUGUUCACGGCUCCUUCAUGGCGUUUACUUGGCGGUCGGCACCGAACGCACAGUCAUAGCCGUCUGCCUCCAUUCGCUCCUUUCCUCGCCUCCUCUUUCUCCUCUUUCGUGUGUUCUGCCGCUACCUUGUGGUGGGCUGCUUGCACUGGUACGAGCCGUUUCACUAACCCACUUUUUCUCCUCUCCAUUUCCUCUUGCACAAACCUGUUCUGCAUGAACCUCGAUGGGCGGCAAAACGGCUGCUGCGAAG